UACGUAGGGGGGCAAGCGUUGUCCGGAAUCAUUGGGCGUAAAGAGCGUGUAGGCGGCUUCGUCAGUCCGUUGUGAAAGUCCAGGGCUCAACCCUGGAAUGCCGAUGGAUACUGCGGAGCUAGAGUCCGGAAGAGGCGAGUGGAAUUCCUGGUGUAGCGGUGAAAUGCGCAGAUAUCAGGAGGAACACCUAUGGCGAAGGCAGCUCGCUGGGACGGCACUGACGCUGAGACGCGAAAGCGUGGGGAGCAAACAGG
rnacentral:rRNA from 1 species